GGAGAGGUGGCAGAGUGGUCGAAUGCACCGCACUCGAAAUGCGGCUUACCUGCAAGGGCAUCGUGGGUUAUCCCGCCCUCGCCU
rnacentral:tRNA from 1 species